rnacentral:siRNA from 1 species
AGAGGUUCGGCCGGGAAGAGGCGC